rnacentral:rRNA from 1 species
UACGGAGGGUGCGAGCGUUGUCCGGAAUCACUGGGCGUAAAGGGCGCGUAGGCGGCCUGAUAAGUAGGGGGUGAAAUCCUGCGGCUUAACCGCAGGGCUGCCUUCUAAACUGUCAGGCUAGAGCACGGUAGAGGCAGAUGGAAUUCCCGGUGUAGCGGUGGAAUGCGUAGAGAUCGGGAAGAACAUCAGUGGCGAAGGCGGUCUGCUGGGCCGUUGCUGACGCUGAGACGCGAAAGCGUGGGGGAGCAAACAGG